CACCAGCAUGGGAGAAAUUUGAGAUUGUUUACAUUUCCACUGAGGCAUAUAUUCUGGACCACCUGGAAAAAUUCUCUAAAAUUCCAUUAGGCCAUCAAUCUAACCCUUCUCAUGGGUAGGUGAGAGAUACAACCAGCAGGACAAAAAGUUUGAUUUGUUCUUUUCUAUCAGUCACAAAAGCUAAGAAAGGAGGAAAGCAGUGCUCAUUCAUUAAAUAAACCCAAUGAAACCAGAUGUGAUUAAAGCAGGUGAUUGAUGUGUUAAGUGUAGUUUAACCAGCAGCUAGACAUUGGUCUUCAGCCACCAAGAAGGUACACUCUUUUCGUAUUGUGUUGCCUUAGAUUGCAUAUAAUCUUGGCCUUGCUGGAUAUGUACUAGGUGUUGUCCUGCUGAUCAGUAUUGAUACCAAACAUGGCAGAUGCAACUCAAUCCUAGAUCCUUCAUGGAUGCUGAUGAUUAAAAAAAUCCAAGUAUUCAUAAGGAAACAAUGAAAGAGGACCUUCCCAAACAAAUAUUGAAGAUUGCAAGGCCAACCUAUUUAAUCCUGAAUCCCCUAAAAAUGUUUCCUCCAACUGGCUUGUAUGGGUGGGCUCAGGGUUGAAAAAGAGUCAUAUUGAAAGACUGUGUAAUUUUGUAUUUGAUAAAAGGUGCUUCUUGUGAGACUCAAAAAAUACCUGUUUUUGAGACUGGCUUGGGGGUGCCUUGUUGGCUCAGUCAGUAGAGCAUGUGACUCUUGAUCUCAGGGUCAUGAGUUCAAGCCCCAUGAUGGGCAUAGAGCUUACUUAAAAGAGUAAAUAAAAUAUAUUUUUAAAAAUCAAUUUAAAAAAUAAAAAGACUGGAUUAAGGUACUGGGCUGCCUUUCUCUCUGGCUCCUAUGCCACACAAAGAUAAAAAGGUGACAUCUGCCUGAUUUUUUAUUGUUUCAAAUUAUACCAGUAUUUGUUAACCCAAAGGUCCACAACAACAAAAAAUGGGAAAAGGAUCCUGAAUGAUAAAAUAGAUUAUCCUUCUCUGAAAGCUCAUCUUACAUAAGAAAUGGGGCAUUAAUAAUACUUCCAUCAUAGGGUUGUUGUUACAAAUAAAUGAACUAAUGCAAUGUAGAAAAUUCAGUGCAGAGCUCAGGGAAAGCUCAAUACAUUUAACUAUCAUCAUUAUUUUAAGAAUUGCGUAGUAUGCUGGUUUGCACAUGUGUAAUGCAUUCCUCUUUUAAGUGCCACUUUCCUAAGUGAUACUUGUGCAUUAAGAGUACUAUCCUGCAUUAGAAAGAACCCCAGACUGAACAUAGAUAAAUUUCUAUUGUGGUUCCUGUGUUGCCAAGGACUGGACUUUUUUAUAUGACCUGGUACAAGUCACUUCAUCAUGACAGAAUUCAAUUUCCUUGUCUGUGAUAUGUGUUGGUCUCAGUAAUUCUAAAUUGCCUUCUUGACCUAGUUCAUUUAAUUCCUAUGACUAAAAUAUAUAUUAUGUUAUUUAUGCAGUCAUAAACAAAAGUGAGUAAAUGUAUUCAUCCCUCUGGCUUUCUCAAUAAGAAGAUUUGAACAAAUACAGUUUCCGUUUUCCACAUCUGUCCACACUUUUUAAAAAAUGCUUAGCUAUCAUGUCCUUACACAGUGUCGAAGUUGCUAGCAACAGCACCUACAAUCCUCUGAUAAGAUUAAAUAUGUACCUUUAGUACUACAGAAGUUGAAUACCACCUGACUUUGAAUAUAUGAAAUGUAUAGUCAAUUCUAUUUUUUAUUAUUUAAGCACCUCCCUUAAAUUAGUGCAUUGUUAUAUUACCUAAGAAUAGAUUGAGAUUUUCCACAGUAUUUGACUCUAAUAAACCUUAAAAGAUCUGAAUAUAUACUGCUGGUUACCUAAAAGCUGUCCCUCUUUUCUUCUUUGCUAAAAGAAUACUGCUUUCAUUCAGGUAUUACUGACCACGUAUUUCAGAAAAGACAAGUUCCCAAGGGCUGUGUCUUGAUUAGUCUACACUAUUGCCCUUUCAAGUGAUUGGUUUAGAAAAAAGCAUGUGACUGACUCAGUUCUGGGAAAUGAGACAUGAGAAAAAGUCUGCAGGAAGGCUUGUGGGAAAGGUUUCUUUGUUCUUAAAAAAGAGACAAGAGGGGAAAUGUCUUUUUACCACUUCUGGCAGUUAUCAUCUCUGUGUAAUGUCUGGAACUGUAGGAGCUGUUUUGUGACCAAAAGGUGAGCCAGCCUAAGAAGCUGCAGAGUGAAAAAUGGAAAAAUCUGGAUCCUUCAUGAUUUUAUUCAGUCGCUGAGUUAAUCACACUGGAAUUUAAUCAACUUUAGACUUCUUGUUUUGUGAGAUUGUAAAUGUCCUUAUUGCUUAGGUCACUUUAAGUUGGGCUUCAUGUUACAUCUGAAACAUCAUAUAUGGCACAUAAUAUAUUACUCAGAAGAGCUAGCUGCAGUAACAAACAUCCAAGAUUUCAGUGGCUUAAGCCAAUAGAAAUUCGUUUCUUGCUCACCUUACGGUCAAGUUUGAGUCAGCAGAGGUCUGUGCUCCAUGCAGCCAUCCGUAGACCAGUGUGGUUCCACCUCAUUUAUAUGCAGGCAUAUAAUGGGGACAAAAGAGGUAAUGAGGAAACAAAGAGACACACACAUUCCAAUACCUGGACCUCUGUCAUGUAACCCCACCUAAUCAAUUGGGAAAUGUAGUCAAUUCAUGUGUCAGGAGGAAGAAGAAAGAGGUUUGGCAUACACAUAGUAUUAUCUCUAAUUUUUCUUUAACAAUUAUGAUAUAACUUUUUUUAAAAAAUCAGUAUUUGCUUAAUGAUGUGGGGCAGUAAGCACAAAAAUCAUCUGCUAUACCACCUACUCGACUAAAAAGUGCUCUACCUUAAGAGUAUCUUGCUUUGGGGCGCCUGGGUGGCUCAGAUGGUUAAGCGUCUGCCUUCGGCUCAGGUCAUGAUCCCAGGGUUCUGGGAUUGAGUCCCGCUUCGGGCUCCCUGCUAGGCGGGGAGCCUGCUUCUCCCUCUGCCUCUGCCUCUCUCUCUCUGACUUUCAUGAAUAAAUAAAUAAAAAAAAAAAAACAUUAAAAAAAAAAGAGUAUCUUGCUUUGAUGGGGCGCAUGGCUGGCUCAGUUAGGGGAGCAUGCGACUCUUGAUCUCAGGGUCAUGAGUUCAAGCCCCACAUUGGGCAGUAGAGCUUGCUUAAAAAUAGUGUUAUGCUUUGAAAGAUAAAUUUUUCCCCUUAUAUAUAGUCCACAAAGAAUCCUUUUUCCUACUCCAAUAAAAUUAGGGAUAUCCUGUCUACAUACUGGAAAGAGAUACAAAAUAGAUGGGAUUAAUAUGUAGUAUCUUCCCAAAGAUCAAGUUUAUUUUUGAAUGGAAAAAAGUCUGUUCAAUCAGACUGAGUAUUUGAUACAGUAGAUUAUAAAAAAGGGUGAUUUUCAAAAUUUGGUUUAGAAUGCAAAAGUGAAUGUUAUGUUUAUUAAGUGAAUCUUAGCCAUUGGAACUUACUUUCUCUAGAUGGUUUGUCAAAACCUAAAAAGUAUCUUUAAUAUCACUUUUGAUUUGUUUUAUUUUUAAUGUUUCUUUACUACACUAUGAAGAUUAAAGAUCAAGAGGAAUUGUUGAAUAAGCUGUGGUUUCUUCUGUACAUCUUUAGAGAUGUGUGUGUGUGUGAGUGUGUGUGUGUGUCUGUGUUUGGAUAUUCUCAGCAGCCUCAUUCUACAUACCAUAUUUUAGAAAUAAAGUUUUGGGGGCAAUAGAGCAGUACACAGAUCAAUCACAAACACUAUCCUGUUGUGGUCUGUAGCCAAUAUCUGAUACUUAUGGGAAAAACAGGGAGAAAAGAUAACACUGAACCACCCGUGGGAGAUUUUUCAUGUCUGGUGGGUGACAGAGAAAGUGAAGCAAAACCAAUCCCAUUACCACUAGUUAUGCUUCAACCACUCCAAUUUCAUUCAUUUUGCUUUUAUUUCUGAUGUGCAGAAGCCGUUUGAUAAAUUCCCUUCUGGGGACAGGCCAGUGUUGGAAGAAUGUACAUUAAAAAGUUAUGAAGAGUACAUAAUUUAUUAAACCCAACUCAUUAUUGGAAACUGUUAGCAUACAAUUCAUUUAAUAGGAAUCACUGGUGAAGAAAAUGACUGUUUUGAUCUGAUCGCAUAAGCAAUGGCGUAAUUUUCCUUGUCUGUGGUGAUUUACUUAAUCUUGAACAACAUGAAUACUCAGUCUGCUUGCUGCUGGGAAACAGACAUGUAUGUUAUGUUAUUUAUUAAUGGCAAUGGCUUUACAUUUUUAUUAUGUUCUGUAACAAAUAGACUCUCCAAGUUUUCAGCAAAAUGAUUGAAUAAUUGAAUAGAGUAGCUGUAUCCCUGAGUACACAGUGGACAAGAAUAAGAAACGGUCUUACUGACAAACACCAAGGCCUAGGAGCCUGUCAUCCAUUAACAAGUUUCACUCAGGAAGACAACUGAUCAAUCAAAAAAGCUUUCCUGUCUGCCUACUAUGCACCAGAGAAAGCCUUUACAUUGUAAAGUGAAAACAUAAAACAUCAAAGGGCUAAGGAGACAAGAUAUAUACAUUAAAAUAUCUAGGCUAGAGAUAUAAGGAAGCGUGUCCCCAAACUCUAGAUGAUCAUGUACUAGAAGAGGUUAGGGGAGGCGAGAGCUCAGUGCUGUCAGAUGGCCAGGGGUAAUCUUUAUAGUCUUAUCUCUGGCCCUAGGGAGAUUUUCUUCAUGUAAUUUUGAACAUUAUUUUGCAAGCCGAAUGUUACAGACCUAUGGCAGGAUAAUUUCAAGUUAUAUAUUAAAAUAUAUUUAGCCAUUUCCCUAUUAAAGAGCAUUUACUUUAUUUCCAGUGUUUCCCACUACAGAGAUACCAUAAUAAUCAGUCUUGAAGUAUUUUUGCUCUUUUUUUUCCGUAGCAUACAUUUCCAGAAGUGGAAUUGCCAGAUCAAAAGGCAUGACUGCUGUUUAUCUCCUGUCUGCUGAAAUCAUCUCCUGACCGAUGCUUUCAAGAUCGAAUAUCAGAACCUUCACCAUCUUCUUCCAGACAGCACCCUCUCCUGUAAGGCUCCACCACCGAAGCUCCAGACAACAGAAAAUGCCAAAGCUGCACAAUGGCCCUGAUAGAGGAAAACAAUACUUCUCUUUGUUUUUGGCGUUUGGGAUUGUUAUGGGUCCCAAACAGCUGCUGUCUCUCAUAGUAGGUUAGGAUUUUCUAAAGAGAGGCUCUGGCACAAGAUUUUGAGAGCAGAAGAGGAAAAUCCAGAUUCCUUGAAGUAAGUACAGUCAACUGCAUGCAUAGAUCUGAGAUUCACAGAAGCUUCCUGGCAAGUUUUUGCAAACCAGCCAUUUCACUAAUGCAGACUGAGAGAAUUGGGGGUAGUUUCCCAGAGAUUCUAGACUAUUAAAGCUUCUGGGCAAAGUAAGGACGCACUUCGAUAUUUUAGGCCGAGAACUUCACUGACAUUUGUUCUCUCGGCUACUCUAACAGUUGUAUGUGCUUCUAUUUCGGAUAGUAAACUUUUGUGUCCAAGUCACACAGUGAAUAAAUAAUGAAGUGAAUAGUCUCAGACAAUACUAUUGUCGAUAUCCACCUCCAGUUCUUCGGUUCUUAGACAAAGACAAGUGGAAGACUUCACAUAAUUAUCUUUGUGUCUACAACAUUAGCCAAAGGCAAAAGUAAUUGUGUGAGUAGUAAAGAACCCCAACUCUGGUUUAUGGAUUUCUUAGCCUUUUUUAAGAAUUGAAACUGGCCUCAGUGGUAGGACUGAUCCAAACACCUUCUUGAGCUUGUAGGCAAAUAAGCUCACGUUGUGGUGCUUCUCUUCUCAUUGGGAGAUAAAAGCCAUCUGUAAACUUGCUCCUUGCUCAGUGUUUUCAUUCUUUCAAAUGCAUGCAAUUGUGAUAAAAUUAAAAUAGACUAUUUAUCCCAGCUAUUGCACUGCCCUGCUCACAUAGGGAUUCUCUACGCCACAUCUGUACAUGGCAUAGAUCUCUUACUCAUUUUCUAUACUCAAAGCCCCCUGGCUUGACAGGUGGUUCUUAUAUUACUGAAAAUUUCACUCUUGUCCCCAGUGGCUGCUUAAUAUUUUUAGCCUUUUCUCUUCUCUGUCAUUAUCUUCUGAUGUUAACAGAGGUAAACUUAGGCUAUAAAUAUAUAUAUUUUUUACGAAUACAAAGAGUGCCUUACUUAAUUUUCACAAACCCUAUUUUAAACAAUAUCAGAGUACCUCUGUAUUAGAAAUGUGGUCACUUUUAAAUGUUGUAUGUAGGGGAGCCUGGAUGGCUCAGUUGGUUAAGCAUCCAACUCUUUUUUUUUUUUUUUAAAGAUUUUAUUUAUUUUUUUGACAGAGACAUAGCGAGAGCAGGAACACAAGCAG